UACCCAAUCCUGACACAGGGAGGUAGUGACAAGAAAUAACAAUACGGGGCUUUAAGUCUUGUAAUUGGAAUGAUGGGAAUUUAAACCUCUUCCAGAGUAUCAAUUGGAGGGCAAGUCUGGUGCCAGCAGCCGCGGUAAUUCCAGCUCCAAUAGCGUAUAUUAAACUUGUUGCAGUUAAAAAGCUCGUAGUUGAAUUUCUGCUGUAUCGUUUUCCUCUGCUUGACAGUUGGAUUUCGUUAUGGCUUAGUUGGGUUACAGCUCUUGUUACCCAACGUUUACUUUGAGAAAAUUAGAGUGCUUCAAGCAGGCUUUUGCCUUGAAUACUUUAGCAUGGAAUAAUGGAGUAGGACUUUGGUUCUAUUUUGUUGGUUUUAGGAGCCAGAGUAAUGGUUAAUAGGAACAGUUGGGGGCAUUCGUAUUU
rnacentral:rRNA from 1 species